AAGCCAGCCUUCUUUUGUAGAAUAUUUUAAAUUCAUUGAACAUACAGAUAUUUUUUUCUCUCUCCUCCUCCUCCUCCUCCUCCUCCAUUGUUCUACCAAAUCACUGUAUGUAAUGGGGAUACAUUCUUUGCUUGGCUAUCUGUCUCUUUUCUUCAACUUUGUCUUCUCUCUCCCAUCACAUUGUUCUACUAAAUUACAUGCAUUCUUAACGUACCGUCGAUCUUUUCUGAAUUUUUUGUUUCAUGUCAUGUUAACAAUUCUUCUUCUUUCUGGGCUUGUUUUGGAAUCUUUUUGGCGAUGCAAGUUGUUUUUCAAUAGAUCAAGAAAAUAGUAGUAAUUGAUUCUUUUGUUCUUAUAGCUAUUUGUCCGUUUCUCUUUAAUAUGAAACUCAUAGCUUUUUAAUGAUUCUUAAUUGCUAUGUAGCUUUAUUAGUUGUUUUUUCUUCUUCUUUCCGUAUGACUAUACCUAGGUUAUUAGAUUUUCUCUUUGUGAAUUUUUUACGCACUUGUGUUUUUGAUAUGCUUUACUUAAGCGAGGGUCUAUCGGCUGAGAACCAAGGUGUAUUUUGAAAUUUAAUGUGCUUUGGAGGUAUUUUAGGCAGUCGUUCGAUACAUUUCAUUCUUGUUCUCGAUACUGUGGUGUGAUGGCUAUUGAUUCUCUUGCUAAUUCAAGUUGAACUAAAAAAAACUUAAAGGAGAUGAAACAUGUUUCCACCUUUUUCUUUAAUAACCCUUCUACAAUCUUGAACUUCGAAUUUUCUUGAACAUUCAAUUUUUUUUAAUUUUCUGAAUUUCUUGAUACAUGUCAUGUUAAUAAUCUUUUUCUUUAUGGCUGUCUUGAUUUUUUCUUUUUUGGUGAUGCUAGUUGUUCUUCAAUAGAUCAAUGUAGUUGUAAUUGGUUUUGAUUCUUUUGUUCAUAUAGCUGCUUGUCCGGUUUCUUUAAUAUGAAAUUCACUGCUUUAUCUUGAAUAGCUUUUUAAUGAUUCUUAAUUGCUAUGGAGCUUUAUUAGUUGUGUUUUUUCUUUUCUUUCGUAUGACUACAUAGGUUACUAGAUAAUCUGAUUAUGAAAUUUAUCACACGCUUGUUUUCUUGAUAUACUUUACUUGCGCCGAGGAUCCAUCUGGAAUAGCCUCUCCACCUUUACAAGGUAGGGAUAAGGCUGAGACUCCAAUUGUGGGAUUAUACGGUGUAUUUUGUUGUUGUUAAUGAAAUUUAGUGUACUUAGGAGGAGGUAUUUUAGGCGGUGGUUCAAUACAUUGCAUUCUCGUGCUUGAUACUGCGGUGGCUAUUAAUUUGCUAAUUCAUGUUGAACCAAAAAUUUAUUGUCCCACGUUCCACAUCAUGGUAUUAAUGCUUGAUCAGAUUUGUUAGAUCUUUGGUGCUGAGUCCAGAAAGUUCUUCACCCAAAAGCUGCCUGUGGUUCAUAAAAAAAGAAACACAUGGAAGAAGACAUUGCAAUUUCCCAAUUUCAAAUCUUGGGUGUCAUUUCCUUAAUAAUUCUUGGAUUUGAAUUAAUCGCUCUCAUAUCCAUGUCAAGGAGAUAUAUACCAACUGGAAGUUUCGAGGAAUUGACAAAUUUGGCAUAUACAAACUAAAACCUGGUAUAGGGCAUUGUCCAAUCUCAGGUGUUCCUUUGAUAUUCCCAGUCCACUCUUGCGACCAAAGAAAGAACACAAUGAAGUAGGUUAAGGUCAGCUAAAGGAUUUGAUGGGGCUAAGGAUGGUUCCAAAAAGAGCAGCUACUUUAGAUGAACGCUACUGUGGUUGCACUAUUUAUUUGCAUGCAUGAAAUUGACAUACGUGUAUCCUGUUCGCUCGAGCCAUGAUAAAGAUGGGUGAAUUCGAUAUCAAAGGGAUGAAAAGAAGCUGAUAGCAUAAUACAUGAGUAGGUUGGCCAAGAAUAACCUUGAUGAUCAAGAGAACUUUACUGACCAUCCCUAAAUCCCAACGAAAGCCUUCUACCGGGGCUUUGCUGGGAAAACCUGCUUAAAAAAAUGGACAUGUGUGAAGACCAAGAGCGGUUAUUCACUUUUCUUCUUCCUUAGUCUAAGCAAUCAAUUUGUGAGAUAAAUUAAUUCUCCAUUUGUAGUUAGAUUUUUGCGUUUGUAUAACCUUUUUUUUCGAGUUCUACCUUGAAAGGAAACCUACAAUGAGAUUGUACCCGAAUAGAGAUGGUGGUCUUACUCUGGCCCAUAAUAGAAUAGCUAGGUGAAGCAGUCAAUCGAUCUUAUAUAUAAGAAGAACAAAAGAUCUUUCUUGAUCAA